rnacentral:tRNA from 1 species
AGUNCACUCAGCCAUCUCUCC